rnacentral:rRNA from 1 species
GUGGGGAAUAUUGCACAAUGGAGGAAACUCUGAUGCAGCGACGCCGCGUGAGCGAAGAAGUAUUUCGGUAUGUAAAGCUCUAUCAGCAGGGAAGAUAAUGACGGUACCUGACUAAGAAGCUCCGGCUAAAUACGUGCCAGCAGCCGCGGUAAUACGUAUGGAGCAAGCGUUAUCCGGAUUUACUGGGUGUAAAGGGAGCGCAGGCGGCAGGGCAAGUCUGAUGUGAAAGCCCGGGGCUCAACCCCGGCACUGCAUUGGAAACUGUCCGGCUAGAGUGUCGGAGGGGUAAGUGGAAUUCCUAGUGUAGCGGUGAAAUGCGUAGAUAUUAGGAGGAACACCAGUGGCGAAGGCGGCUUACUGGACGACAACUGACGCUGAGGCUCGAAAGCGUGGGGAGCAAACAGGAUUAGAUACCCGUGUAGUCC